rnacentral:rRNA from 1 species
UACGGAGGUUGCAAACGUUGCUCGGAAUUACUGGGCGUAAAGCGCACGUAGGCGGUCUGCUGUGUCCGAUGUGAAAGCCCUCGGCUCAACCGAGGAAGUGCAUUGGAAACUGGCAGGCUCGAGUACGGAAGAGGGUCGCGGAAUUCCCGGUGUAGAGGUGAAAUUCGUAGAUAUCGGGAGGAACACCAGUGGCGAAGGCGGCGACCUGGGCCGAUACUGACGCUGAGGUGCGAAAGCGUGGGGAGCAAACAGG